CAGACAGUAAACAUAAGAGAACAUGGAGUCCCCCAAGUCAAUGUCACAGUAUUGUCAUGACAACAUCAUAACAUUGGACUCCUAUUCUUUAUUGAUGUAAGAACCUAUGAAUCCUCUCUACAUAGGGUCAUUGGACCUCUAUGCCUGAAACAGACUGGAAGAAACAAAGGGGAGAGAGGCUGCUUUAGAAUCCAAAAAGCCAAGAUGGUGUUUCUCCCAGAGAGGCACGGAGAGUGUUGCACAUAGUCAUUUUUGUUUCCAUUAAGCCUCUGGUAGCUAAGAAAGUAAGAGAUGGCCAAAGAGCCCCCUCAUCCCACUUUAUCUUUGCGUGAUAGCAGAUGGCACGUGGAGUUUAACUGAUAUCAUCGCAUCCGUGACA
rnacentral:lncRNA from 1 species